rnacentral:rRNA from 1 species
CGAGGAAUAUUGGUCAAUGGGGGCAACCCUGAACCAGCCAAGUCGCGUGAAGGAUGAAGGUCUUAUGGAUUGUAAACUUCUUUUAUACAGGAAUAAAUUGGGGGACGUGUCCCCUUUUGCAUGUACUGUACGAAUAAGGAUCGGCUAACUCCGUGCCAGCAGCCGCGGUAAUACGGAGGAUCCGAGCGUUAUCCGGAUUUAUUGGGUUUAAAGGGUGCGCAGGCGGGAUGUUAAGUCGGCGGUGAAAUUUUGCAGCUCAACUGUAAAAGUGCCUUCGAUACUGGCCUCCUUGAGUGUGGAUGAAGUAGGCGGAAUUUGUGGUGUAGCGGUGAAAUGCUUAGAUAUCACGAGGAACUCCGAUUGCGCAGGCAGCUUACUAAGCCACAACUGACGCUCAUGCACGAAGGCGUGGGGAUCAAACA